GACGAACGCUGGCGGCGUGCUUAACACAUGCAAGUCGAACGAUGAAGCUGGAGCUUGCUCUAGCGGAUUAGUGGCGAACGGGUGAGUAACACGUGAGCAAUCUGCCCUUGACUCUGGGAUAACUGCGGGAAACUGUAGCUAAUACCGGAUACUUUCACCGGGGGGCAUCCUCUGGUGAUGAAAGAAUUUCGGUCAAGGAUGAGCUCGCGGCCUAUCAGCGUGUUGGUGAGGCAACGGCUCACCAAGGCGACGACGGGUAACCGGCCUGAGAGGGUGACCGGUCACACUGGGACUGAGACACGGCCCAGACUCCUACGGGAGGCAGCAGUGGGGAAUAUUGCACAAUGGGCGCAAGCCUGAUGCAGCAACGCCGCGUGAGGGAUGAAGGCCUUCGGGUUGUAAACCUCUUUUAGCAGGGAAGAAGCGAAAGUGACGGUACCUGCAGAAAAAGCACCGGCUAACUACGUGCCAGCCGCCGCCGUAA
rnacentral:rRNA from 1 species